UACGGAGGAUCCAAGCGUUAUCCGGAUUUAUUGGGUUUAAAGGGUGCGUAGGCGGAUUGAUAAGUUAGAGGUGAAAUGUCCGGGCUCAACCCGGGCCGGCCGUUGAAACUGGGGAUCUUGAGUGGGCGAGAAGUAUGCGGAAUGCGUGGUGUAGCGGUGAAAUGCAUAGAUAUCACGCAGAACUCCGAUUGCGAAGGCAGCAUACCGGCGCCCGACUGACGCUGAGGCACGAAAGCGUGGGGAUCGAACAGG
rnacentral:rRNA from 1 species